rnacentral:lncRNA from 1 species
GUUACAGUGCUCCACUUCACAGAUGUAUGGAACUUGGGAACAGAAGGAGGAACAGAAAAGCAGAUUAUCGGACAAAUGUACAUUUAAGCACCUGGCUCAGAUAAACCUAGGAGCAGAUGGAGCAAGGAUCUACGUGGUAUUCUACAUCAGGCUCCACAAAAUUUGUGACCGAAGUUGGUCUUAUGCCAGCCUACAAUUAUGCAGGAGCAAGAAGACAAAGGCUUACAUAUAUCCAUCCAGCAUAUUUCCAUCACCCUUCGCAGCCCUGCAACUCUGUUCACAGAUGUUAAACACCACAGCUCUUAUCACAAGUGUUAAAACAUAUGGUAUAUUGGGAGAAAGAAUGAACAAUUUGAAAGAAAUCCCAGCUGUUGCAUAG